GCUUUUGUAGUGUAGUGGUUAUCACGCGUCCUUCACACGGCCGAGGUCACCGGUUCGAACCCGGUCAAAAGCA
rnacentral:tRNA from 1 species